rnacentral:ncRNA from 1 species
GAUAGAGGUUGCGAGUUUCAUCAGUAUUCUGCGGGAUGUACCGGUUUACAGACGAACGCAGAAAAAAGGGAAACCCGCCGAAAGGGUGCGCCGGCCGGCUGCGUAUCCUUGGGCAUGGGGCUAACAGGUCCAUGACUGUCAUCGAAAGAUGGAGCGCUGCCAG